rnacentral:lncRNA from 1 species
UUUGUAAAUAGUUUGUCUCUCACUACAAUGCCAAUUAAGGACAUAAUGAAUCAUUACCACACACUCUUGAGAGAGCUUUUCUGCUCUCUCAUUUACUGUGUUCCUGUUUAAGCAAAUAGUUAACAUCCUGUAUCUCACUUUGGAAACACCGACCGUACGACAUAUGUUUUGAGCUGACGCAACAGUUAUUUCUUCAUGAAUAAAAACGUUGAGUCACACAAUUUCACAAUACUGAGAGUUUCCUAACGAUAUAAGCACAUAAAGUCAAACUUGGCUCAGAAUGUUAAGAACAUUGUAGAAGUGUUACUAAAGAGAGAACAACAACAUUUGCUGACAAAAAUGGGAAACCAACCAUCAACAACAACUACUACAAUAGCACCAACAACAGUAGCAACAACAACUCCUCUUACAACCACAUACAUACCAACAACUACAUUAAUUGACCAAAGCAAAAGAGUUGGAUGAUGAAACAAAAACCACAGACAAACCACAGGUUGUUGUUAUUGAAAAUGAGCACACAUAUGCAAACGUUGGUAAAUCCAAGGCACAGAUGAUUGAUGACCACUUUAGUUACAGUGACCUGACCAUCCGAAGUGCUAACGCCAAACCCUCACCAGCCACAGAGAUGACUGAAUAUGCCAGUGUCAGAAUCCGCAAUUCUGAUGUUUUAAAUGUAUAAUAAUGCACAAACAUGCAUAUCUUCAAGUAUAAUGCUCUAAAGUCACAGCAGUGGGAGGCAGCUCCGCAUUGGAAUCUUUACAUUUAUUUUGAAUGAUUUUGAUGAGGUUACUAAACAUGUAACGUGUUUUUGAUUGCAAUGUUUAUUCAAGGCAAUUAUGUUUUGUAUCAUGUUUAAUUUAUUGUUAUUUAUCAUUUUAUCAUGAUAUUAAAGUAGCAUAUAGAGAAAAAUACACUGCAUUCCACAUAUUUGGUGGUUUUCUAACAAAAUGACCAAUAAUCCACUGUUUCUUAUAAAAAAAAUACAAAAAGUAAAAAAGUAAAGAAAACCUAAUUCUUUAUGGGAACACCUAGGAUCUGGUGUCAUUCAUUGGCACUUAAAUCGAUGAUCUGAUUUGAAGAGAAAACUAACUUCAAAUGGAGGCCUUUACUGCCCCCCAAAAAUCCUGCAAUUCUACACUUUUUGCCAUGGGGCAGGGAUUUAUUUUAUUCUGUUUUAUAGCUCAUCUCAUGCUGUUGUUCACAUUUUGUCAUGAGGCUGGGAGAACAUUUUGUAGUUUUAUGUUAAUUUCUUGCAAUUCUACAAAUGUUUCUAUCAUAUGCUACCAGGAUAGAUCUAUAGCCAUCUCCUGCCAGUGUAAUCCUUACUAUAGGCAGAACACAAAGUAGUGGUGUAGAGGACCUAGUUUAGAUUAUUGUCAGAUUGUGGUGAAGACCAGCAAGCCCAGAGUUACAGAAAGGAGCUACAUCAUGGAGGAUAUGAAUGCUGAGGUCUUCACUGUCACAAUGAGUGCACUGAGGCAAAGUGAGGAGGGGAGGUACUGGUGUGUCAUCUCCAGACCUGGGAGGAAUGUCUAAAGCUACAUGUCUUCUGCACAUUUAAUGCCACUCAGAUUGUCCUGCUGGAACAUCAGAACGUUUCAUCCACAGUGUUGUGAAACCAUGCAAAAAGCCAGAUCAGUAUGAUCUGCAUGAAGUGUACCAUUUCAUUUAAGAUCAACUAUUGUGUUCCUUCCACAUGGCUUUCUGUAGAAAAUGAGAAUAUGAAAACAAUGUACAGUGUAUGUCCUUGUACUUGAUCAUAUUGUAAAUUAUAAUAUGACAUUAACAUAUUUUACCAGGCAUAUCUUUUUCAACUGCUUCCACUGCAUCUAUCGAUUCAACAACAUUAGUGCAGGAGGAAAGUGCAACAUGGCGAGUCCUAAAAAAAUAACAUUUUCAAAGGGUAGAAUGUUUAGUUUAUAGGGGAGGGGGUCGGUGUCAGCCAUAGAAGUACGGCACCUGGAGCAAAUUAGGAUUAAGUGGCUCAAUCAAGGGUACAUCGACAGAUUUUUCACCAACAACAAUAUACAAUGUCUAAAUAAAUAGGCUACAUGUGUCUAUAUUAUGUGUGAGUAUAAUUUCAGGAGAUGGGUAGUCCUACCCCUCUUAGUUUUACAGUUUUAUAAAAUAAAAUCCAUAAAUCAUGUCAACAAGUCAACAACAAUGUUUCAUCCAGGACUUGGGUUGGGGUCCCAGCACCAAGAUAAUGAAUUAUUUGACAUGAGUAUUCAGAAGUCAAACUAUUGUCCUGGGUAGAGCUUUUUGAGUCAACGCGACAAAUUCAAGAUACAAGUACCAUUUGAACAGUUUGCUACUAAAGGAGCGGAAACAGCGUGGAGAUGUGGAAAUAGACAGCGAGGAAGAAGGAAAGAUGCUGAGUGUAGAGGGGAGUAGUGUGGGGAGGAAGAUUGGCGUCACCGGGAGCUCAGAAAUUCAACCUGAUGAGAGUGAGGAGGAAUUACCUGCAGAGACAGGUGCGGUGAAGACCGCUGAGGUCGAGCCUCGUCCCGAUGAUUUUCCCAGUGGUAGUGAGAUUUUUGGAGAGUAUGGUACUUGCAUUCUGGCUGAUCCAUAUGUGAUUGGGUAGAGAAGAGUUUGGGAACUGAAAUGUAAGAUUCUCGGUCUGUAGAAGAAGGGGACCAAAGCACAGCGUGGUGAGUGUUCAUAUUAAUGUUUUAAUAAUAAGAAACACUUCAAAGAAGACCGACAGCCAACAGUUCUGUCAGGUCACAAAAUGUACAAAACAGAAAAUAACUACCCACAAACCCCAAAGGAAAACAGGCUGCCUAAGAAUGACUCCCAAUCAGCGACAACGAUGUACAGCUGUCCCUGAUUGAGAGCCAUACCAGGCCAAAACAAAGAAAUACAAAGCAUAGAAAAAAGGACAUAGAAUGCCCACCCAAAUCACACCCUGACCAAACCAAAAUAGAGACCUAAAAAAGGCUCUCUCAGGUCAGGG